rnacentral:rRNA from 1 species
ACGUAGGGUGCAAGCGUUAAUCGGAAUUACUGGGCGUAAAGCGUGCGCAGGCUGUUUGGCAAGUCAGAUGUGAAAUCCCCGAGCUCAACUUGGGAACUGCGUUUGAAACUGCCAGACUAGAAUAGGUCAGAGGGGGGUAGAAUUCCACGUGUAGCAGUGAAAUGCGUAGAGAUGUGGAGGAAUACCAAUGGCGAAGGCAGCCCCCUGGGAUCAUAUUGACGCUCAUGCACGAAAGCGUGGGGAGCGAACAGG